CAGUCGCCGCGGGAAUACGAAGGGUGCAAGCGUUACUCGGAAUUACUGGGCGUAAAGCGUGCGUAGGUGGUGGUUUAAGUCCGUUGUGAAAGCCCUGGGCUCAACCUGGGAAUUGCAGUGGAUACUGGGUCACUAGAGUGUGGUAGAGGAUAGUGGAAUUUCCGGUGUAGCAGUGAAAUGCGUAGAGAUCGGAAGGAACAUCUGUGGCGAAGGCGACUAUCUGGGCCAACACUGACACUGAGGCACGAAAGCGUGGGGAGCAAACAGGAUUAGAGACCCCCGUAGUCCCUGUCUCUUAUAA
rnacentral:rRNA from 1 species